GAUUUUAUAUCGGUUCUGUAAUACCCCUAACCCGUAUCCGUCACCGGAUUAGGGUUACGAGGCAUUACCGAAUAUAGCACGAUUAACACAAAUAUAGAACAUUCUUAAUCACUCAAGAACAAUGCUACUUUAGUUAUCACAAUGCAAUGCACAAAAUGUUUUGAUCACAGUUAAUAUUUAAAUGCACAAAUAUAAAAUUAU
rnacentral:lncRNA from 1 species